GUCGAGCGGAGUGAUGGUGCUUGCACUAUCACUUAGCGGCGGACGGGUGAGUAAUGCUUAGGAAUCUGCCUAUUAGUGGGGGACAACAUUUCGAAAGGAAUGCUAAUACCGCAUACGUCCUACGGGAGAAAGCAGGGGAUCUUCGGACCUUGCGCUAAUAGAUGAGCCUAAGUCGGAUUAGCUAGUUGGUGGGGUAAAGGCCUACCAAGGCGACGAUCUGUAGCGGGUCUGAGAGGAUGAUCCGCCACACUGGGACUGAGACACGGCCCAGACUCCUACGGGAGGCAGCAGUGGGGAAUAUUGGACAAUGGGCGCAAGCCUGAUCCAGCCAUGCCGCGUGUGUGAAGAAGGCCUUAUGGUUGUAAAGCACUUUAAGCGAGGAGGAGGCUACUGAAGUUAAUACCUUCAGAUAGUGGACGUUACUCGCAGAAUAAGCACCGGCUAACUCUGUGCCAGCAGCCGCGGUAAUACAGAGGGUGCAAGCGUUAAUCGGAUUUACUGGGCGUAAAGCGCGCGUAGGCGGCUAAUUAAGUCAAAUGUGAAAUCCCCGAGCUUAACUUGGGAAUUGCAUUCGAUACUGGUUAGCUAGAGUGUGGGAGAGGAUGGUAGAAUUCCAGGUGUAGCGGUGAAAUGCGUAGAGAUCUGGAGGAAUACCGAUGGCGAAGGCAGCCAUCUGGCCUAACACUGACGCUGAGGUGCGAAAGCAUGGGGAGCAAACAGGAUUAGAUACCCUGGUAGUCCAUGCCGUAAACGAUGUCUACUAGCCGUUGGGGCCUUUGAGGCUUUAGUGGCGCAGCUAACGCGAUAAGUAGACCGCCUGGGGAGUACGGUCGCAAGACUAAAACUCAAAUGAAUUGACGGGGGCCCGCACAAGCGGUGGAGCAGGUGGUUUAAUUCGAUGCAACGCGAAGAACCUUACCUGGCCUUGACAUAGUAAGAACUUUCCGARAUGGAUUGGUGCCUUCGGGAACUUACAUACAGGUGCUGCAUGGCUG
rnacentral:rRNA from 1 species